rnacentral:rRNA from 1 species
GUUAUAUGGUCAAGUGAAGAAGCGCAUACGGUGGAUGCCUUGGCAGUCAGAGGCGAUGAAAGACGUGGUAGCCUGCGAAAAGCUUCGGGGAGUCGGCAAACAGACUGUGAUCCGGAGAUGUCUGAAUGGGGGAACCCAGCCAUCACAAGAUGGUUAUCUUGCACUGAAAAUACAAGGUGCACGAGGGAACCAGGGGAACUGAAACAUCUAAGUACCCUGAGAAAAGAAAAGUCAAACCGAGAUCCCUUAGUAGUGGCGACGGCGAACGGGGGGACUAGCCCUAGCUCUUUGAUUUUGCCGGAACGCUUGGAAAGUGGCGGCAUAGUGAGGUGAUAGCACUGUACGCGGAAAGGAUUCUUAGAAGUGAAAUCGAGUAGGACGGAGACGAGGACACUUUGUCUCGAAUAUGGGGGGACAUCCCCAAGGCUAAAUUAUACUGACUGACCUGAUAGUGCAACCGUACGUGAGGGGAAAGGCGAAAAGAACCCCGGAGAGGGGAGGGAAAUAGAUCUGAAAACAGUAUGCGUACAAGCAGUGGAGCAGACUUGUUCUUUGACUGCGUAUAGUACCUUGUGUAUAAUGGGUCAGCGGAUUAUGUUAGUGGCGAGGCUUAACCGAAUAGGGAGGGCGUAGCGAAGCGAGUCUUAAUGGGCGUCUAGUCGCUGGGAAUAGACCCGUAAACCGGGCGAUCUAUCCAUGGGCAGGUUGAAGGUAGGUAUACACUGACUGGAGGACCGAACCGGACUACCGUUGACAAGUUAGCGGAGAUCCUGUGGAUUUCGGGGAUUGAAAGGCUGACAUCAAGCUCGGAGAUAGCUGGUUCUCCUCGAAAGCAUUUUAGGUAGCGCUCAGUAUCAACUGGAGGGGGUGGAGCAUGUUUCGGACUAGGGGUCAUCCCGACUUACCAAACGAUGCAAAACUCCGAAUCCUACAAGGCCGAGCAUGGGGAGACACACGGCGGGUGCCAACGUCCGUCGUGAACAAGGGAAAACAACCCAGAACGGCAGUAAGGUCCCAAAAGUAUGGUUAAGUGGAAAACGAUGUGGGAAGGCUUAGACAGCUAGGGGUUGGGCUUUAGAAGCAGCCACCCUUAAGAAAGCGUAUACUACUAGUCGAGUCGGCCUGCGCGGAAGAUGUAACGGGGCUCAAAAACAUACCCGCAAGCUCCGGGUAUCACGUAAGUGAUGCCGGUUAGAGGAGACGUUCGGUAAGCCUGUGAAAGGGGAGAUUGAGAAGCCUUGCUGGAGUAUCAGAAGCGAAUGCUGACAGAGUAACGACAAUGGGUGUGAAAAACACCCACGCCGAAGACCAAGGUUCCUGGCAUACGUUAAUAGACGAAGGUUAGUCGGUCCCUAAGGCGAGGCUGAAAAGCGUGUCGAUGGAAAAAGGUAAUAUUCCUUUACUUCUGGUAUGAGAUGGAGGGAGGAGAGGGCUGGCCAGCUUGGUUGUGUCCAAGUUUAAGGUGGUAGCUGGAAUCUUAGGUAAAUCCGGGGUUCCAAAGGCGAGAGUGAUGACGAGUUUACCUUGGCGGUGACAAGUGGUUGAUGCCAUGACUACCAAGAAAAAAGUUCUAAGAUUCAGAUAACCAGGAAACCGUCCCAAACCGGGAACACAGGUGGUUGGGUUAGAGAAUACCAAGGCGCUGAGAGACUCGGGUGAAGAAACUAGGCAAAAUGGCACCGAACUUCGGGAGAGGUGCGCAGGUGGAGGGUGAAGCACUUGGCGUAAAGCCCACGCCGGUCGAGAUACCAGGGCCGCGCGACUGGUUUAAUUAAAAACAAGCACUCCUGCAAACAGAAAGGGGACGUAUAGGGUGUGACGCCCUGCCGGUGCCGGGAAGUAAUGAUGGGGUUAGCUAACGCGAAGCUCUUGAUCGAAGCCCCGGUAACGGCGGCCGAACAAACCGUGUCAUAAGUAGAGAAUCCUUGUCGGGUAAGUUCCGACCGGCACGAAUGGCGUAAAACGAUGCGGCGCUGUCUCCACAGGACUCAGGAAAUUGAAAUCGCUGUGAAGAUGCAGUUGGCCGCGCUAAGACGGAAGACCCCGUGAACCUUUUACUAUAGCUUUCGCACUGGAAUUGAAUUUGCUGGUGUAGGAUAGGUGGGAGGCUUUGAAGCGUGGACGCCAGUCUGCGUGGAGCCAUCUUGAAAUUACCACCUGGCAACUUUGAGGUUCUACUCAGGUCCGUUAUCCGGAUCGAGGACAGUGUAUGGUGGGUAGUUUGAAUGGGGCGGUCUCUCUCCUCAAGAGUAAAGGAGGAGUACGAAGGGGCGUCAGACCGGUCAGGGACAUCGGUAGUAGGUAUAAAGGCCAAAGACGCGCUUGACUGCGAGGACAGAAGUCGAGCGGUACGAAAGUAUGGUCUUAGUGAUACGGUGGUUAUGUAUGGACGGGCCAUCGCUCAACGGAUAAAAGGUGAUCCGGGAUAACAGCUGAUACCGCCCAAGAGUUAUCGACGGCGGUGUUCGGACCCGCGUCGGCUCAUAACAUCCUGGGGCGGAGCCGGUCCCAAGGGUAUGGCUGUUCGCCAUGAAUGGUAUCGCGAGUGGGUUAGAACGUCGUGAGACGUUCGGUCCCUCAUCUGACGUGGACGUUUGGAUUGAGAGGGGCUGCUCAUAGUACGAGAGGACCGGAGUGGACGAACCUCUGGUGUUCCGGUUUCACGCCAGUGGCAUUGCCGGGGAGCUAUGUUCGGAAAGAACCGCUGACAGAAUCUAAGCGGGAAAACUUGCCUCAAGAUGAGAUCUCUGGAGCCUUGAGCUCCCUGAGGGCCGUCGAAGACUACGACGUGAUAGCAGGGGUGUAAGCGCUGUGAGGGCGUGAGCUAACCUGCUACUAAUUGCCGUGAGCUUGACAUAUACACCCAAGCAAUU